GGCGGCGUGCCUAACACAUGCAAGUCGAACGCGGCUACCUCGCAAGAGGUAGCUGAGUGGCGAACGGGUGAGUAACACGUGGGUGACCUACCUUCGAGUGGGGGAUAACGUCCCGAAAGGGACGCUAAUACCGCAUAACCUCCCGCCUUUGAACGGGUGGAGAUCAAAGCUGGGGAUCGCAAGACCUGUUGUUUGAAGAGGGGCCCGCGUCUGAUUAGCUAGUUGGUGAGGUAACGGCCCACCAAGGCAACGAUCAGUAUCCGGCCUGAGAGGGCGGACGGACACACUGGGACUGACACACCGCCCACACUCCUACGGGAGGCAGCAGUGGGGAAUUGUUCGCAAUGGGCGCAAGCCUGACCACGCACCGCCGCGUGAAGGAUGAAGGUCUUCGGAUUGUAAACUCCUGUUGCCCGGGACGAAUGGCUCCGACCUAACACGUCGGAGUGUGACGGUACCGGGUGAGGAACCCCCUGCUAACUCUGUGCCAGCAGCCGCGGUAAUACAGAGGGGGCAAGCGUUGUUCAUAAUUACUGGGCGUAAAGGGCGCGUAGGCGGCCCGCUAAGUCGAACGUGAAAUCCCCGGGCUCAACCCGGGAACUGCGUCCGAUACUGGCAUGCUUGAAUCCGAGAGAGGGAUGCAGAA
rnacentral:rRNA from 1 species